ACUUUCAGCAACGGAUCUCUUGGCUCUCGCAUCGAUGAAGAACGCAGCGAAAUGCGAUAAGUAAUGUGAAUUGCAGAAUUCAGUGAAUCAUCGAAUCUUUGAACGCACCUUGCGCUCCUUGGUAUUCCGAGGAGCAUGCCUGU
rnacentral:rRNA from 3 species